CAUCCCAUUUUUUGAUGUCCGCACAAUCCUCACCAACUCAUAUGAAGGCAGGCUGAUUGUUGAGAGUCUUGAUAAGGACAGUUUUGUCACCAUAAAACAGAGACGUUGCAUGAUCAGAAUUUUAGUGUCAUACCUAAUUGAGAAAUUUGGAGAAACACCAAGCUCGGACACAAAAAAGGCAUCUAGCAUCUGCCUUGGUACAAGCAUUCCCCUGUCUGCACGAUAAAACUGCUGGUGGUUAUGAAACAUGGUAUGCCCAAUGCCGAAAUAAUAGACCAGCCACUGGGUUCAUUGAAGAGAGACUGAGGAAU